UACGUAGGUGGCAAGCGUUGUCCGGAAUUAUUGGGCGUAAGCGCGCGCAGGUGGUUCCUUAAGUCUGAUGUGAAAGCCCACGGCUCAACCGUGGAGGGUCAUUGGAAACUGGGGAACUUGAGUGCAGAAGAGGAAAGUGGAAUUCCAGGUGUAGCGGUGAAAUGCGUAGAUAUCUGGAGGAACACCGGUGGCGAAGGCGGCGUUCUGGACUGUAACUGACACUGAAAGACGAAGCCAGGGAGC
rnacentral:rRNA from 1 species